rnacentral:rRNA from 1 species
GUUACAGCAGCCGCGGUAAUACAGAGGGGGCAAGCGUUGUUCGGAAUUACUGGGCGUAAAGGGCGCGUAGGCGGCCUGUUAAGUCAGACGUGAAAUCCCCGGGCUCAACCCGGGAACUGCGUCUGAUACUGGCAGGCUUGAAUCCGGGAGAGGGAUGCGGAAUUCCAGGUGUAGCGGUGAAAUGCGUAGAUAUCUGGAGGAACACCGGUGGCGAAGGCGGCAUCCUGGACCGGCAUUGACGCUGAGGCGCGAAAGCCAGGGGAGCAAACGGGAUUAGAUACCCUGGUAGUCC